rnacentral:rRNA from 1 species
UACGUAGGGGGCUAGCGUUGUCCGGAAUCAUUGGGCGGAAAGCGCGUGUAGGCGGUUCGGUAAGUCCGCUGUGAAAGUCGGGGGCUCAACCCUCGGAUGCCGGUGGAUACUGUCGGACUAGAGUACGGAAGAGGCGAGUGGAAUUCCUGGUGUAGCGGUGAAAUGCGCAGAUAUCAGGAGGAACACCGAUUGCGAAGGCAGCUCGCUGGGACGUUACUGACGCUGAGAAGCGAAAGCAUGGGGAGCGAACAGG